rnacentral:tRNA from 2 species
GCCGGGGUGCCCGAGCGGCCCAAGGGGGUGGGCUCGAGACCCACUGGGGCUCCCACCCCGCGCGGGUUCGAAUCCCGCCCCCGGCG